GGGAAUAAAACAAACCGGAGAACACUCUCAUCUGCUCUGUCCCUCACUUUGAUUUUCAUAACCGUGCCUGCUCCUUAAAAUAGUCGAAAAGUCGCGCCUGCUCGUGCGCCAUGAGAUCUUUAACCCUCUGAAGAAAAAAGAUAAGGAAUGGGAAAAUGAAGAGGAAGAACGAGAAAAAGAAGACAAUGUAGGGGAGGGGUGCGAAUCAGAAUAUUAUGGAUUGAUACAAAUAGUCGCUCGCGCCAACCCUCAGCCAGAGUUGAAUUAAUGUGUUACUAUUUUUGGAGCGCCUGUGUUUCCAGGGGAAACCUAAUGACGCAAUGACGUCAAUGCAGGUCAACAGCAGACUGGAGGAAUUGAGCGCUUCCAUUAGAUUUUGCAGUAUUUUCCAGAAACGCGGAAAGGACAAAAUGGAUUAGUUUAAAAUAUAGUCAAAAAAUAUCAGAUUGCAAUUUUAUAAACGCAAAGAUCAGAGAGCCGAAAAAUGCGCGCGACCGAAAAAUGGGAAGAUCAGAAUUUAUUGGAAUUAUCAUUGCGAAAAACCAAAGAAAAAACAUCUCGGCUUCCUUGAAGCAUCACUUACACGAUUACAAGCAUCCCUAUUUAACUUGUCAUCAGUGUGACGAAAACCCCUUCCUUCCCCCACUCUUCCACAAAUUGUGGGUGUGUGCAGUACUGGGCGUUCACCGCGGCGGGUGGGUUUCAGCGCCGUGGACAGCAGCCCGUUCAGAACCAUGGACAGCACCAGUUUAAUUAACGCGCCUCCUUCAAUCAACCAGAAUACAUCACAUCUGCGCAAGCAACAGACGAAGCUGAAUUCUGUGACCCUCUUUGUCCUUUUCAGGUCUUUUUGCGGUCUGGGCUUGCUGUUCCUUAAACCACUAGCCAGGAAGCCCUUACCCCAAAAAGUAUCUGCAGAGGACAACAACAUCCGAACAAACAUAACAAGCUCUCAACAUCACCACCAAGACCUCUGUAUCCUCUCACUUUUAAAAAAAUAAAUCUUCUUCAUCCUUAAUGAUCUAGAUGUAUAUAACAAAUUUAGAGAAUCCAUGUUUACUAACAAAAUUAACAUUAAGCCUAAGAUUGAUUAUUUCACAUUAUUUUGCAUAGAAUAAAUUAUUCAUAUUUUGUUGAGAAAUUACACACUUUAUACCUUUUAAUAUAAUUUGACUAAAACAUGACAACUAAAGGACAACUAAAACAGAAUAGUCAUUUUUAUCUGUUGAGAAUUUAAGGAUCAUCUUUGGACACAAACCGGACACAGAGGAUGAAGAGUGACCAUGCAGACAAACCUGAAAUACACAUAGAUCAUAACUUAAACUUCUCUGCCUACUUGAUUGAUUUUGCUGAGUUUGAUUACAUUUGGUGUAAAGACAUUAAGCAUUAAAACACCUAUUAAAAUAUAUAAAAAAGCAACAAGACAAACUGUGUAACAAGGCAGUUCACACAAUUGGCACCAUAUACAAAAAUCACUUAUUUUAGUGUUAGUUGGUCUAUGUUAAAUAACUGUCCAUUAAUUAACCUAAAAACUUAAACCUAAAAAUGUUUUCUGUUUAAAGUUUUUGUACAUACAGUGUCCAAAGGCAGAAAAAUAGCAGAACACAACACAUUCCCAGUGUGUUUAAAAUAUCACUAAACAUCACCCAGAGUUCCAUUAAUUUAAUGCAUUAAUUAUUCCUUAAUAAAAUACAGAAAAGAAGUAUACUGAAAAAAGUCUUAAAUGGGUCAUAAAGAACCUUAAUGAAUGGCAAAGAGUCUGUGUCAUUGUUCCGAUGACACCCGUAAGAUACAAGAGUUGAGCAUUCAGCCAGCUCUAUGGCCAUCUUGUGAUUGUUUUCUUUUGCCCAGAGCAUUUAUCUCCAUAACUUCCUCCCCAUUCACUGGUCCACCAGCUGAGUGCUUUGGUCAUGUGACUCUAUACCGUCCGCAGGCCUUCCCGUUUGCCCAGUUCUUCCCAGAGAGAUCUUCAACACUUGUGAGACCAUAUGCUUGACAAAACUUAUAAAUAAGGUUCCCUUAAAUUAUGAUAUAAAAAACUCUAUCAAGUCUCUGUUUAGGAAUAGAAAGAAUUGUAUGAGUUUCUACUGUAUAUCAUUACAUCAAGUGGCAUCACAUCUUAGUGAAUGUAAUCUGGAUAAAAAAGUCUUUUUUAAAUGCAUAAUCCAUGUACCAAAACUUAAUGUGUGAAAAAGGGUUAGUCUCUUUGAAUUAUGAUCCAUGGACAUGGGACACAAUAUGUGUCACCCUGUAGCCUUGGGAAAUAGAACAGUGCUCUGCCGAUGUCAUCAGCAGGACGCAUUAUUGUGGCACCACUUUUUGGGUCUCAAUAUUGUAAUGGACCUAAUGAUGUCGCUACUUUAGAUGAGCGUUGUUAGGGGCUAAGACGUGUAAUUCAUCUUUUGUUAAUUUAUUUUGAAACAAAUGUUUAACAUGGAAUUAUCAUAAAUUCAUAUCUUGCAAUGUUACAGCAUAUGAUAUCAUUCUUAACAUUAAAAACGUUAAUGAU